CGGGGCAGAGAUGACCAGGGGA
rnacentral:miRNA from 1 species